UAGCCUAGUGAUUAAGGCAAUGGAUCGCCAAUCCGGAGACGGUGGGUUCAAUUCCCGU
rfam:Aedes albopictus isolate Foshan contig102685, whole genome shotgun sequence.